rnacentral:rRNA from 1 species
AUGCACGCUGGCGGCGUGCCUAAUACAUGCAAGUCGAGCGAACAGACGAGGAGCUUGCUCCUCUGACGUUAGCGGCGGACGGGUGAGUAACACGUGGAUAACCUACCUAUAAGACUGGGAUAACUUCGGGAAACCGGAGCUAAUACCGGAUAAUAUAUUGAACCGCAUGGUUCAAUAGUGAAAGACGGUUUUGCUGUCACUUAUAGAUGGAUCCGCGCCGCAUUAGCUAGUUGGUAAGGUAACGGCUUACCAAGGCGACGAUGCGUAGCCGACCUGUGAGGGUGAUCGGCCACACUGGAACUGAGACACGGUCCAGACUCCUACGGGAGGCAGCAGUAGGGAAUCUUCCGCAAUGGGCGAAAGCCUGACGGAGCAACGCCGCGUGAGUGAUGAAGGUCUUCGGAUCGAAAACUCUGUUAUUAGGGAAGAACAAAUGUGUAAGUAACUAUGCACGUCUUGACGGUACCUAAUCAGAAAGCCACGGCUAACUACGUG